CCUACGGGAGGCAGCAGUAGGGAAUAUUGCUCAAUGGGGGAAACCCUGAAGCAGCAACGCCGCGUGGAGGAUGACGGUUUUCGGAUUGUAAACUCCUUUUGUUAGAGAAGAUAAUGACGGUAUCUAACGAAUAAGCACCGUCUAACUCCGUGCCAGCAGCCGCGGUAAUACGGAGGGUGCAAGCGUUACUCGGAAUCACUGGGCGUAAAGAGCGCGUAGGCGGGAUAGCAAGUCAGAUGUGAAAUCCUAUGGCUUAACCAUAGAACUGCAUUUGAAACUGUGAUUCUAGAGUGUGGGAGAGGUAGGUGGAAUUCUUGGUGUAGCGGUAAAAUCCGUAGAGAUCAAGAGGAAUACUCAUUGCGAAGGCGACCUGCUAGAACAUAACUGACGCUGAUGCGCGAAGGCGUGGGGAGCAAACAGGAUUGGAUACCCCGGUAGUC
rnacentral:rRNA from 1 species